rnacentral:rRNA from 1 species
UACGUAGGGGGCAAGCGUUGUCCGGAAUCAUUGGGCGUAAAGAGCGUGUAGGCGGCCCGAUAAGUCCGCUGUGAAAGUCCAGGGCUCAACCCUGGGAUGCCGGUGGAUACUGUCGGGCUCGAGUCCGGAAGAGGAGUGUGGAAUUCCUGGUGUAGCGGUGAAAUGCGCAGAUAUCAGGAGGAACACCAAUGGCGAAGGCGGGUCUCUGGGCCGUAACUGACGCUGAGGAGUGAAAGCGUGGGGAGCGAACAGG